rnacentral:rRNA from 1 species
UACGGGGGGGGCAAGCGUUGUUCGGAAUUACUGGGCGUAAAGGGCCAGUAGGCGGCCAACUAAGUCCGACGUGAAAUCCCAAGGCUUAACCUUGGAACUGCGUCGGAUACUGGAUGGCUUGAAUUCGGGAGAGGGAUGCAGAAUUCCAGGUGUAGCGGUGAAAUGCGUAGAUAUCAGGAGGAACACCAAUGGCGAAGGCAGCUCGCUGGGACGUGACUGACGCUGAGAUGCGAAAGCGUGGGGAGCAAACAGG